rnacentral:lncRNA from 1 species
UCUAUAUUUUAUCACAAUGAAAGUCUGUGGGGGUAAAUCCAUUACGCUGUUAAUAGUCAAGUACUAGUCGAAUCUAUAUAAACAUAUAGGUUAUUGUAUGUUUUUAUUAAGCAUAUUGCCUUUACAUAUACCAAAUGAAGUUAAUAUAUAUAUAUCGACUCAAAGAAUAGAUAUUAUAUUUUGUUGGGAUGGGAAUGGGGGGCUGUGAUCAAACGAAGGAAGUGUAAUGCUAUAAAGAAAGGGCCAUGUUCCCGCGUACUGAGGGAGAAGGGGAAGGGGGAGGGGGGUGUGGCGUUAAAAAAAAGAGAAAAAAGCCCACUCUGGACUCAUCUCGUCUCUGGCCUGGGAAACAGACGCAAGAUCAGCGAGGAUGCGCCUCCCAGUCGAAGCCCCUGAGUCCGCCUCGUGAUGCAGUCUCCAUAGCGACUACAGUUUCCUGGGAAGCAAGAAACGCAUGGAGGGUUUUGCUGAUGGGCGUCAAUAUCACACAAUCAACUGACCUGCGACCCUAUUCCAAACGGUCACAGCAACACAGUUUCAAAGACCUUUGAGGUAGAUCCACACCGUGCCUAGGACUGUUCAUCAACCAUUCCACUGACAAGAAGGUUUUCAAAGCACAGGACAAAAAUGCAUCUGAGGACAGAGGAAUGAUGUCCGAAACGCUCAAUAUUGUCCUCUCUACCAGAUCCACACUCUAGAAGUGGCCUUUUUCUAGGGAUUCACUGCCAGGCCGAAUAUAGAAUAGCCAGAAGAUAUCAGCAUACAAUGAUGGCAGCUGUUAAACUUUGAAAAAGUGGGACAAAAGCUGACCAUCUUUGGCAUAACUGUCCACUGCUGUGGGACAUAUAUUGCAGAGGUUUUCAAUGUGUCCUUCAUGUAUUCAGAGUUUGUGCUGUAAUCAAACCAGAUGUCUGCAUAUAGAUUUGUCAUCAUUAUAAAAAUACUGCCUAAUUAUUUACUAUAUACAGUAACUCACUGCCUACUUAAUGACUAUAUUAGACAUUCCAAUCACUGAAUAACUGAGAAUAUUAAAGUUUAUUAUGCU